rnacentral:lncRNA from 1 species
UCUUGUCCACUUAUUAAGUAGAUCUAAUUGUUGUGGGAAUUCGUAUUCUUCUUUCCUACUAUUUUUAACAGUAGUCUUUUUUUCUAAUCAUACUCAUUAGAUGAAUAGUGUUAAACUUAGUUUCUCAGGUUUUUACCAACAUGGCUCUGAUACUAAUACGGGGACAGGAUCGCUUCCGAAUGAGGUUCAGCAAGAAUUACAAGAAGGGGUUGUUCGAGACUGAUUACCAACCUUUAGGUAAAUCUUAAACCACGAUACUCCUCACAACUCUUCAACACUGCCACCUGUCUAAAUGAGUUUACGUGCACCACCGGUUAGGAUAUCCUAACCAAGAUUUACUGUCAAGGUUAGUAACUGCUUGAUCUAUAUAGUUCUUAACCUAACACUCCAUCGGGGUGAUAGAGUUCAUUUAGUGAAACAAAGCAUGCUGUGUAAAUAACCUUUGAAUACUAAGCUUAACACUUACCUGUUUAGCCUAUCAUUUAGGCUAACAUCGAAUUAAUUCAACAGAUUUAAACCAAGAUAGACAUAUAUGUAAAAUUAGACAAAGCAAAUACUACAAAGGAUAAAAUAAGCCCAUUUGAUGUAAUUACUAAAAGUCUUCAAAUGAAUAAAGGAUCCAUAUCCAAGAAAGAAAUCAUCGCUUCAUAUUUUUAGGAAAUAAAGAAAGAUUUGGCAAAAAAUCUCGGAACAGAAGUCAGUGAUGAUAUAUCAAUGGCCUUUAUAUGAAACACUUCAGAUGAAGACGCAUGUGCAUCAGGGGAAGCUCAAAGCACCUCCAGAACAUAAGUUAAUAUUGAAGAGAUAGAAGAUUUCCUUCAAAUUGAAGGAAAAUGCCGAAUAAUCUUCGGAGAAAAAAGACAAGAAGGGAAAAGGCAAAGCUUAAAUUAUUGAAGUCCCCAUAGGACAAUCAUAGGGGUAAUAAGUUAAAAGACUUUAAUAAAGAUACGGACCCAUCCAUUAUAAAUAAUCUACUUUUGUAAAGUAGAUUGUCCAUUUGCAAUAAUUUUCUUUGUAGGACACUAUUGUAAAUUAUUUUGUCGGCCAAUUUUAUUUGUUUCGUAGUAAAUCGAUCCAUUAUAAAAGGAUCCUCAUAGUUUAGGAGACGUGAGGCAUUACCCAAAGUCCGGA